GAUAUCCAAUUAAAAAAAAAUAGACUGUGUGUUGAGCACGCUUUCCUUGAGACCGAUUUCAAAGGCGGUCUUCAUAUCUGUUUGUUUUUUAUAUCCCAUCAACUCUUCAGCAACAUACUUCACUACUACUAGAGAAGAAAAGCGUGGGGUAUUGUGUAUUGGUGAAGCAUGGCUGCUGCAACGGCACCGACUAGCUUUCAUAUCCGCCGGAGCUUCAACUAUAACGCCAACCUCCAAAACUCCUUUCCAAAAGUGCGCUCAGUCAAAGCGCCUAGCAUAAUCACAGCUAAUUCCUUGAGAGCUCCACGUCCUCAAAAUGUCUCCGGAGAGUUCUUCGUCGAUCAUACAUGCAUAGACUGUGAUACCUGUCGAUGGAUGGCUCCGGAGAACUUUACAAGAGCUGGUGACAUGUCAGCAGUCUUUAAACAGCCCAGCUGUGAAGAAGAACGACUGAGAGCUCUUCAGGCCUUACUAUCUUGCCCAACAAGGUCAAUCCAUACAGAGAAACCUCCUCAUGAUAUUUUAGAAGUUCAGAAGACUUUUCCAAUCCCAAUAGAUGAGCAUACAUUGCCGGGAGUUUACCACUGUGGUUAUCAUUCUGACAAGUCAUUUGGAGCAGCUUCUUAUUUGAUCGUUCGUGCUGAAGGAAAUAUUCUUGUUGACAGCCCAAGGUACACAACAAAAUUGGAAAAUAAUCUUAAAAUGUUAGGUGGAGCUCGUUACAUGUUCCUCACCCACAGUGACGAUGUCGCAGAUCAUGAGAAAUGGUCAAAUCAUUUAGGCUGUGAGCGGAUUCUUCAUUCCCUGGAGGAACUUUUUCCAUGCGUAGGGAAUGUGCCACACCAGCCAAUCAUUGCAUUUGUUGCGAUGGAUGUCGAGCCUUGUCGAUCACUGCCUCCAACGCUUGGUGAAAUUUCUCUUCUGCUUCAUCUCUGCUGGAUGUGGUGCACGAUGCACCUCGAAGAACUAAAUCAAUCCAGGAGGUUAACCUCGAGGAAGGAGAGAGCUAAGAUCAGGGUAGAUCAUUCAACUGCUGCUGUAGAGAUUAAGCUGGAGGGGAGUGGACCAUGGAGCCUCAGUGACGAUGUCACACUUGUACAUACACCUGGACAUACAGAAGGGUCGGUAUGCUUGCUAUACAAACCAAGGAACGUACUUUUUACUGGGGACCACUUUGCGAUGGGUGAGCGUGGCUGGACCAUUUUCGAGAGAUACAACAAGCUUUCAGGUUGCAAACUUCAUGACGUGUUUCAUGUGUCACUUCUUAAGCCAUUCAAGGGUGAGGUACCUACAACUCCACCUACCCUUCCUCCAGUUGAAGAAGGACGUGUUGUUCCCACCCCUUGCUCCGUGCUCAGAUCGAAUCUGAAUUGUGAUAAUUGGGAAAUUCUGGUGCAUUGGUGCGGCCAAUCUGUUGAAGACUACACUUGGGAGACAGUGCAUCAUUUCAAAUCUUCCUUUCCAGACUUCAAGCUUGAGGACAAGCUUUUUCUCCGGUAAGGGGAUAAUGUUAUUGAUGCUUUUGUCUGGAAACAAUAUUCCAGACGCAAGAAUUAAUAGGACUGAUAAUGAGUUUAUUUUCUGAAUUAUUUUGUUAGUAGAAUAGAACUUCCCUUAGUGGAUUAGAACUCUUGGUAAUUCAGUUUUAUUGGGCCUUUUCUAUUUCUAGCUUGUUAGGACUCUUUGCUAGUGUAACCCUCUAUUUAAGAGAGUUGACGUUAUUAAUAAAACAAGUUGAAUUUUAUCAGAGAGUCGGAACUUUCUCAAACAAGUUUCCAGGUCUGCAGUUCCCUGAAUGAACUGCAAAAUUCAGCAAUCAUAGGUAAGUCACGAAACAAAAACAAGGGCUUAGACCAUAACGUUAGGUCUGACUUCCAAGUUAGUUGUCCAGUGACUCGAUCCAAAACUAGGGGCCAUAACAGUAGUUAACAGAUGUCAAGGUGG